GGAGCAGGCCUUUAAAGCAAUGUUAUUAUUUCCUAACAUAUCUGUUGAUGCUUUUAAAAUGCAAAUGAUUUAAGGGAUAUGUCAAGGGAUGUCAAGCUUACCAUCUCACAGAAGGUCAAAGGGAUGGAGCAAGAGAUCUCAUUGUGGGAAGGAUUAAACACUUCUAACCUCUGUAGAAGCCCUGAGUCGUGUGCAAAGCUCUUGUAAGCUUAUUCUGGCGUAUUACAAGGCUCUGGAGAUAGAGUAGAUGGCCAAUCUGGAAGGGAACUGUCAGUGAGUGUGUUCAUACAUCAUACUCAAAUUCAAGUACUGUGGCUUUGAACAUCGUCCUAGUUGUUCGGGAAUAGAUUAUGGACUGUUUGCUGCUAAGUUUAGUUGAUCUAGAUUAGAUAGUUCCUGAGUUCUUCAGGAAUAUUGCUCGACUUAUUGUGAUCCUUGUAAAGAAUAUACAAUAGUGACAUCAUCCCCAGUUCCUUUGGGAUCUCUCG
rnacentral:misc_RNA from 1 species